UCUCCGUAGGUGAACCUGCGGAGGGAUCAUUACUGAGUGAGGGCUCCGGCCCGACCUCCAACCCCAUGUGAACCGAAACCUGUUGCUUCGGGGGCGACCCUGCCGUCCGCGGCUGAGCGCCCCCGGGGUCAAUCAAACACUGCAUUCUCUGCGUCGGAGUAUUAGUAAAUCUAAUCAAAACUUUCAACAACGGAUCUCUUGGUUCUGGCAUCGAUGAAGAACGCAGC
rnacentral:misc_RNA from 1 species